rnacentral:rRNA from 1 species
UACGGGGGGGGUAAGCGUUGUUCGGAAUUACUGGGCGUAAAGGGCUCGUAGGCGGCCAACUAAGUCAUACGUGAAAUCCCUCAGCUUAACUGGGGAACUGCGUGUGAUACUGGAUGGCUUGGAUUUGGGAGAGGGAUGCGGAAUUCCAGGUGUAGCGGUGAAAUGCGUAGAUAUCUGGAGGAACACCGGUGGCGAAGGCGGCAUCCUGGACCAAUAUUGACGCUGAGGAGCGAAAGC